UACGUAGGCAGCGAGCGUUGUUCGGAAUUACUGGGCGUAAAGAGUGUGUAGGCGGUUCUCUAAGUCUGGUGUGAAAUCUCCCGGCUCAACUGGGAGGGUGCGCCGGAAACUGGAGUGCUCGAGUGUGGGAGAGGUAAGCGGAAUUCCUGGUGUAGCGGUGAAAUGCGUAGAUAUCAGGAGGAACACCUGUGGUGUAGACAGCUUACUGGACCAUGACUGACGCUGAGACACGAAAGCGUGGGUAGCAAACAGG
rnacentral:rRNA from 1 species